CAGUCGCCACGGUAAUACGUAGGUCCCGAGCGUUGUCCGGAUUUAUUGGGCGUAAAGCGCGCGCAGGCGGAUCGGUCAGUCUGUCUUAAAAGUUCGGGGCUUAACCCCGUGAUGGGAUGGAAACUGCCAAUCUAGAGUAUCGGAGAGGAAAGUGGAAUUCCUAGUGUAGCGGUGAAAUGCGUAGAUAUUAGGAAGAACACCAGUGGCGAAGGCGACUUUCUGGACGAAAACUGACGCUGAGGCGCGAAAGCCAGGGGAGCGAACGGGAUUAGAUACCCCGGUAGUCCCUGUCUCUUAUCAC
rnacentral:rRNA from 1 species